UGCAAUCUCCCUAUCUCCGUCGAUAGCUGCUAGAUAUUUUCACCUUUUCAUCUUGUAGAAGAUACAAUCACAAUGUGUACAGAACUACGGGUUAUCUUCCUUGGCUCAAUCUUCUCGAGAGUUUUAUCACGUGUUGACGAGAGAUAAACCGGGCGUUUAAGAUAUGCAUUCUCAUGAAGAGUGAUAACGAAUACAAACAAAACAAUUUUAGCGAUUGUACCGUAUCUUAUACAAAACAUCAUAUCCCUAAACAUUUUAUUCAACUCCCGAUGUGUUCAGAGGUUCCUCUUAUAUGAUAUACGGUGUCUUAUACUUUAUUCCACUUCCGGUGUAGCCAGGAGUCCGGUGUAGUCAGGAGUCCGUGUUUAUCCUGUUCUUGGUGGCACAUUUACCGACGGGGUCCUAGCUCAGACAUCUUGGAACUAGGACUGUCAAACUUGGAACACACACUCCUCAAGGCAAGAACAGGAUAGCUUUUACCAUUAGACCCAAAUGUAACUUCCUAAAAUCCAACUUUUACGCAGGUCCUUCACCAAGGAAGAAACAGCUAAAAGACCAUGCUGUCCCAAGUAGCUUUCCAUGGCGAGAAUGCGAGCAGUCAUUCAAAGAAUCUGAAGAUGGCACAUUGAAUUAUGGAAGCUGAUUUGAUAUUAUUAAAAAUUGUAAGAGAU